CGAAAAAAAAAACGGUCAGAUAGGAAAUAGAUACGCCCUAUGGGGGUUGGAUAAGUCCGCUAAUGUGAAUACAAUAGAGCCACUUGAAACGACCGGAGAUCGUUUACUCACGCCACCAGAGCACCCUCCUCUUCAUACUCCUCAUCCGCUCCUGGAAGCAACCAAUCAGUUCGGAUACGGAACAACCCCUUCCCGGAGACCGCAAAAAAAGGUCGUCUGACUUUCAAUUAAUCAAAUUAUCGCGCGCCCCGAGGGUUGGUGGAAAAUUCAGGCGGUUGGGGGCGACGAGGUCCUGGCACUCGAAAGUCGCCGCAGAUGGGAGGACAAACAUUUGUCCACUUUUUGCAAUUUGUACAGGUCAACUGUAGGUUUUGGCCCGAUUGUUUGCGUUUUGCCGCGUGUUUUGUGCAACAUCAAUAAAUUGUCAAAAUCUGUCAAAAUUUUUAAUGACUGUGUGACGGCUAAUAACCGAAAAUCGAUUUGUUCAAGGCGGUCUAUUGAUUGCAAUUUGAAAUUGAGUUUGUUUCAUUUCGGGGCACUAUUUUUUUUUUCGAAUACUGCGGACGUUUUUAUGGAUUGCUGUUCCUGGACAAACAAUUGUAUCUGUGCGUUUAAUGUUCAGGGAUCAUUUUAGAGUUUUUAACGUCAGGCGGUUAUUUUUCAUCCAUCCAAAAUUUUAAAGAAAUCCGAACAUGUGGGCGAUGGUGUUCCUCCAUGCCUUGCCCUUUUGUUGUCUCGUUUUCACUUUGCCGAAACCGCAAGCCGGGAAACUUUCGCACCUGUGUCGAAUGACCAAAAACCAGAGGAGAGCAGCCUGCAACUUCCUCGUCGCAGGACGAUGUGAAAAAGCCGAUGUCUAACCCUUUUUUUGCGGCUUAAUUGCGAUGCCAGAUCAUAGCCAUCGGUCCGUUGGUGAAACAAAGUAACCGACAGGAGUCCUGCAAUCCGGAUCCUGUGAAUUCGAGCCGAGUCAAUGUUCAUUAGGGGACACUUUGCGACCUUAACCCUUCUAUUCGAGCUACGAGCUACAUGUUCCUCUGUCCAUAUGCAAAAUAAUGCCGCAUCAUUAGUGCGUUGGCCGACAAUGGGAAAGGGUUGCAAGUGGGGCACGUGUCGAGCACAGGCUGCAUGUCCUCCGGAUUCCGAACUUUUUUUGCGCCUCAGUAAAACCCAGAAAUCGUGUUUUUCACCGUAUUUGCAUAUG